ACGGGAGGCAGCAGUGGGGAAUAUUGGGCAAUGGGGGAAACCCUGACCCAGCAACGCCGCGUGGAGGAAGAAGGUCUUCGGAUCGUAAACUCCUGUCCUCAAAGACGAGAAGAAGACGGUAUUUGAGGAGGAAGCCCCGGCUAACUACGUGCCAGCAGCCGCGGUAAUACGUAGGGGGCAAGCGUUGUCCGGAAUGAUUGGGCGUAAAGGGCGCGUAGGCGGCCUGUUAAGUCUGGAGUGAAAGUCCUGUUUUCAAGAUGGGAAUUGCUUUGGAUACUGAUGGGCUUGAGUGCAGGAGAGGUUAUCGGAAUUCCUGGUGUAGCGGUGAAAUGCGUAGAGAUCGGGAGGAACACCAGUGGCGAAGGCGGGUAACUGGACUGCAACUGACGCUGAGGCGCGAAAGUGUGGGGAGCAAACAGGAUUAGAUACCCUGGUA
rnacentral:rRNA from 1 species